rnacentral:rRNA from 1 species
GUCUACAGCCACACCAUCCUGACACAUCCGAUCUCAUCUGAGCUUGGAAGCUAAGCAGUAUCUGGCAUGACUAGUACUUGAAUGGGAGAACAACUGCUUACGGCACUCAUGCCACAUUCAGCA